rnacentral:rRNA from 1 species
CUACGGGAGGCAGCAGUGGGGAAUUUUGCGCAAUGGGGGAAACCCUGACGCAGCAACGCCGCGUGAGUGAUGAAGGCCUUCGGGUCGUAAAGCUCUGUCAGAGGGGAAGAAGUGAUAGUGUGCUAAUACCACAUUAUCUUGACGGUACCCUCAAAGGAAGCACCGGCUAACUCCGUGCCAGCAGCCGCGGUAAUACGGAGGGUGCAAGCGUUGUUCGGAUUUAUUGGGCGUAAAGCGCGUGUAGGCGGUCUUUUAAGUCUGAUGUGAAAGCCCCGGGCUCAACCCGGGAAGUGCAUUGGAAACUGGGAGACUUGAAUACGGGAGAGGGUAGUGGAAUUCCUAGUGUAGGAGUGAAAUCCGUAGAUAUUAGGAGGAACACCGGUGGCGAAGGCGGCUACCUGGACCGAUAUUGACGCUGAGACGCGAAAGCGUGGGGAGCAAACAGGAUUAGAUACCCCGGUAGC